ACAAGCGGAGGAGCAUGUGGUUAAUUCGAUGAUACGCGAGGAGCCGUUACCUGGGCUCGAACGUAAGAUGACUGUAGGUGAAAGCUUACAUCUCUUCGGAGCAUUUUACGAGGUGCUGCAUGGUUGUCGUCAGCUCGUGCCGUGAGGUGUCGGGUUAAGUCCCAUAACGAGCGCAACCCCUACCUUAGUUGCCAUCAGGUAAUGCUGGGGACUCUAAAGGAACUGCCUACGCAAGUAGUGAGGAAGGCGGGGAUGACGUCAAAUCAGCACGGCCCUUACGUCCGGGGCUACACACGUGCUACAAUGGCCGAUACAGAGGGCAGCUACCUGGUGACAGGAUGCAAAUCUCCAAAGUCGGUCUCAGUUCGGAUCGGAGUCUGCAACCCGACUCCGUGAAGUUGGAUUCGCUAGUAAUCGCGCAUCAGCCAUGGCGCGGUGAAUACGUUCCCGGGCCUU
rnacentral:rRNA from 1 species